rnacentral:rRNA from 1 species
UCAAGCUACAAAGAGCACAAGGGGAAUGCCUUGGCACCGAGAGCCGAAGAAGGACGUGACUAACUGCGAUAAGCUGCGGGGAGCCGUAAGUAGGCUUUGAUCCGCAGAUUUCCGAAUGGAGCAAUCCGGCAAGAGGAAAGUCUUGUCAUCAUAUACUGAAUACAUAGGUAUAUGAGGGGAACCGCCUGAACUGAAACAUCUAAGUAGGGCGAGGAAGAGAAAUCAACCGAGAUUCUGUGAGUAGUGGCGAGCGAAAGCGGAAGAGGCUAAACCAUAGGUAGCAAUACUUAUGGGGUUUCGGACAGCAUUUAGUAUUGAUAAUUUCUAGUUGAAACGUGUGGGAAAACGUACCGAAGAGUGUGAGAGUCACGUAAGCGAAAGAGAGAGUCAGCGAGCUGUAUCCAAAGUACCGCGGGACACGUGAAACCUCGUGGGAAGAUGGGGGGACCAUCCUCCAAGCCUAAAUACUACCUAAUGACCGAUAGCGAAUAGUACUGUGAAGGAACGGUGAAAAGAACCCCGGGAGGGGAGUGAAAAAGAACCUGAAACCCUAUGCUUACAAGCACCGAGAGCACGUCAAAGUGUGAUCGGGUACCUUUUGUAGAAUGGUCCGGCGAGUUAUUGUAUGCGGCAAGGUUAAGUGCUUAAGGCACGGAGCCGAAGCGAGAGCAAGUCUGAAUAGGGCGAAUAAGUCGUAUGCAAUAGACCCGAAACCGAGUGACCUAUCCAUGUCCAGGCUGAAGUGGAGGUAAAACUCCAUGGAGGGCCGAACACACGUCCGUUGAAAAGGCCGGUGAUGAGGUGUGGAUAGCGGAGAAAUUCCAAUCGAACUCGGAUAUAGCUGGUUCUCUCCGAAAUAGCUUUAGGGCUAGCCUCGUGAAAGAUUACUGGAGGUAAAGCACUGAAUGGGCUAGGGGUCGAAAGAUUACUGAACCCUAUCAAACUAAGAAUGCCAGAUAAUUGAUUCACGGGAGUCAGACAAUGUGAGAUAAGUCUCAUUGUCAAAAGGGAAACAGCCCAGACCCACAGCUAAGGUCCCUAAACAUUGUUAAGUGGAAAAGGAUGUGGGGUUGCAUAAACAACCAGGAUGUUGGCUUAGAAGCAGCCACUCAUUAAAAGAGUGCGUAAUAGCUCACUGGUCGAGUGACCCUGCGCCGAAAAUUCAACGGGGCUAAACAAUGUACCGAAGCUUGGGAUUCUAAAGUAAUUUAGAGUGGUAGGAGAGCGUCGAAUAAGGGGUGAAGUCAGAGCGGAAGCGCUGGUGGACUUUAUUCGAGUGAGAAUGCCGGAAUGAGUAGCGAGAAUUAUGUGAGAAUCAUAAUGGCCGAAAAUCUAAGGUUUCUUGAGGAAGGUUCGUCCGCUCAGGGUAAGCCGGGAGCUAAGGCGAGGCGGAGACGCGUAGCCGAUGCACAUACGGUUGAAAUUCCGUAGCCACCGAAAGAUUUAAGUACAGGGACGCUUUAGAAGUGAUGUUGCCGGGCGAUGGUUGACCCGGUCGUAAGGGAUCGAAAAUGAGUAGAGAAGUCAUCAUGGAAAGAGACAAGAAAAGCUGUAUGAAUAUCUUAGGUGCCCGUACCGCAAACCGACACAGGUAGAUAGGAAGAAGAUUCUAAGGCCAACGGGAGAAGGGUUGUUAAGGAACUCGGCAAGUUGACCCCGUAACUUAGGGAUAAGGGGUGCUCAAGUGAUUGAGCCGCAGAGAAUAGGCCCAGGCGACUGUUUAGCAAAAACACAGGUCUCUGCUAAAUCGAAAGAUGACGUAUAGGGGCUGACACCUGCCCGGUGCCGGAAGGUUAAGAGGAGAUGUGAGAGCAUUGAAUUGAAGCCCCGGUAAACGGCGGCCGUAACUAUAACGGUCCUAAGGUAGCGAAAUUCCUUGUCAGGU